rnacentral:rRNA from 1 species
CCUGAUCAGCCUGCCGCGUGUGUGAAGAAGGCCUUCGGGUUGUAAAGCCCUUUUGUCCGGAAAGAAAAGCUGCCGGUUAAUACCCGGGGGUCCUGACGGUACCGGAAGAAUAAGCACCGGCUAACUUCGUGCCAGCAGCCGCGGUAAUACGAAGGGUGCAAGCGUUACUCGGAAUUACUGGGCGUAAAGCGUGCGUAGGUGGUUUGUUAAGUCUGAUGUGAAAGCCCUGGGCUCAACCUGGGAAUUGCAUUGGAUACUGGCUGGCUAGAGUGCGGUAGAGGAUGGUGGAAUUCCCGGUGUAGCAGUGAAAUGCGUAGAGAUCGGGAGGAACAUCUGUGGCGAAGGCGACUAUCUGGACCAGCACUGACACUGAGGCACGAAAGCGUGGGGAGCAAACAGGAUUAGAUACCCUGGUAGUCCACGCCCUAAACGAUGCGAACUGGAUGUUGGGAGCAAUUUGGCUCUCAGUAUCGAAGCUAACGCGUUAAGUUCGCCGCCUGGGGAGUACGGUCGCAAGACUGAAACUCAAGG